UCGAACCCUGCAAAGCAGAACGACCCGUGAACACGUAAAAACAACCGAGUGNUGAGAGGACCAAGCUCCUGUUUGAUCCUCUCGACGCUUUGUCGAUGCGCAUUUACUCGAGUCCUUUCGGACCUUGUGAAUGUGUCAUUGGCGCAUUAACAACCCCCGGCACAACGUGUGCCAAGGAAAACUAAACUCAAGAAGGCUCGUUUCAUGAUGCCCCCGUUCGCGGUGUGCUCAUGGGAUGUGGCUUCUUUAUAAAUCGCGUCGCCCCCCACAAUUCUCCGUAAAGGGAACAUGUGUUUUGGGGGCGGAUAUUGGUCUCCCGUGCUCAUGGCGUGGUUGGCCGAAAUAGGAGUCCUUUCGAUGGACGCACGAACUAGUGGUGGUCGUAAAAACCCUCGUCUUUUGUUUCGUGCUGUUGCUCGCAAGGUAAACUCUUUAAAAACCCCAAUGUGUCGUCUCUUGACGACGCUUCGACCG
rnacentral:rRNA from 1 species